rnacentral:misc_RNA from 1 species
UCUCCGUAGGUGAACCUGCGGAGGGAUCAUUACUGAGUGAGGUUGUAACCGCCCGACCUCCAACCCUUUGUGAACACAACUUGUUGCUUCGGGGGCGACCCUGCCGACGACUUCGUCGCCGGGCGCCCCCGGAGGUCUUCUAAACACUGCAUCUUUGCGUCGGAGUUUAAAACAAAUUAAACAAAACUUUCAACAACGGAUCUCUUGGUUCUGGCAUCGAUGAAGAACGCAGC